AGGCUCGUAGCUCCAAUUGGUAGAGCGUCGGUUUCCAAAACCGAUUGUUGUCGGUUCGAAUCCGUCCGAGCCUGCCA
rnacentral:tRNA from 1 species